ACUUUUAUUAAAAGGGAAGCACAUAUGUAAAAUUGGAAUGAUACAGAGAAGAUUAGGAUGGUCCCUGAGCAAGAAUAACACGUAAAUUUGUGAAUCAUUCCAUAUUUAU